GACGAACGCUGGCGGCGUGCCUAAUACAUGCAAGUAGAACGCUGAAGCGAGGAGCUUGCUCUGCUUGGGUGAGUUGAGAGCGGGUGAGUAACGCGUGGGUCACCUGCCUGAUAGCGGGGGAUAACUAUGGAAAAGGAUAGCUAAUCCCGCAUAACCAUGGAUGGCACAGGGCAGGUAUUAGAAAGGGGCAAUUGCUCCACUGAAAGAUGGCCCUGCGUUGUGUUAGCUAGUAGGUGGGGUAAUGACUCACCUAGGGGGCGAUACAUAGCCGACCUGAGAGGGCGAUCAGCCACCCUGGGACUGAGACCCGGCCCAGACUCCUACGGGAGGCAGCAGUAGGGCAUCGUCGGCCAUGGGGGCAACCCUGACCGAGCAACGCCGCGGGAGGGAAGAAGGUCUUCGGAUCGUAAAGCUCUGUUGUCAGGCAAGAACGCGUGUGAGCGUGUAAAGUUGACAGUGUGACGGUAGCUUACAAGAAAGGGACGGCUAACUACGUG
rnacentral:rRNA from 1 species